rnacentral:rRNA from 1 species
UUAGAGGAAGUAAAAGUCGUAACAAGGUUUCCGUAGGUGAACCUGCGGAAGGAUCAUUACUGAAUUGUCAACACGAGUUGUUGCUGGUCCUCAAUGGGGGCACGUGCACGCUCUGUUUACACAUCCACUCACACCUGUGCACCCUCUGUAGUUCUGUGGCUUGGGGGCUCCGUCCUCCUGCUGUGGUUCUAUAUCUUUACACACACUCUGUAAUAAAGUCUCAUGGAAUGCACACCGCGUUUAACGCAAUACAAUACAACUUUCAGCAACGGAUCUCUUGGCUCUCGCAUCGAUGAAGAACGCAGCGAAAUGCGAUAAGUAAUGUGAAUUGCAGAAUUCAGUGAAUCAUCGAAUCUUUGAACGCACCUUGCGCCCUUUGGCUAUUCCGAAGGGCAUGCCUGUUUGAGUAUCAUGAACACCUCAACUCUUCAUGGUUUUCCAUGAUGGGCUUGCACUUCGGGGGUCUUGCUGGCCUGUCUAUAAUCCUCUGAACAGAUCAAUAAGCGGAGGAGCAUAUCAAUAAGCAGAUGAGCAUAUCAAUAAGCGGAGGAGCAUAUCAAUAAGCGGAGGAGCAUAUCAAUAAGCGGAGGAGCAUAUCAAUAAGCGGAGGAGCAUAUCAAUAAGCGGAGGAGCAUAU